rnacentral:rRNA from 1 species
UACGAGUGGCUCAAGCGUUAUCCGGAAUUAUUGGGCGUAAAGGAUGUGUAGGUGGUUAUGUUAGUCGGACGUCCAACCUCUGGGCUCAACCUGGAGACAGCGUUCGAAACGGCAUGACUAGAGUAUGUUAGGGGUAAGCGGAACUCAUAGUGUAGGGGUGAAAUCCGUUGAUAUUAUGGGGAACACCAAAAGCGAAGGCAGCUUACUGGGACAUUACUGACACUGAAACAUGAAAGCGUGGGUAGCGAAUGGG